rnacentral:misc_RNA from 1 species
AAAAAACUGAACUAGGAAAAGAUGAAUGUACAAGAAAUCGAGGAUGACUCUCGAGGAUGGUUACUAUAAUUUUCGCGCAAACAUGAGAAAAUCUUGGUGUUCCUAGGCCUCACUCAUGUAAAAAUUGGAAGGCUGGAUUCUCAAGAAGUUCGGUUGCAGGUUUUACAUCUGUGAAAUCCUUGACUUGAAGUGAAUUUGAAACUUCUUCAAU